GAUGAACGCUGGCGGCGUGCCUAAUACAUGCAAGUCGAGCGAACAGGCGAGGAGCUUGCUCCUCUGACGUUAGCGGCGGACGGGUGAGUAACACGUGGAUAACCUACCUAUAAGACUGGGAUAACUUCGGGAAACCGGAGCUAAUACCGGAUAAUAUAUUGAACCGCAUGGUUCAAUAGUGAAGGACGGUUUUGCUGUCACUUAUAGAUGGAUCCGCGCCGCAUUAGCUAGUUGGUAAGGUAACGGCUUACCAAGGCAACGAUGCGUAGCCGACCUGAGAGGGGGAUCGGCCACACGGGAACGGAGACAGGGGCCAGACCCCUAGGGGAGGCAGCAGUGGGGAAUCUUCCGCAAGGGGGGAAAGCCUGACGGAGCAACCCCGGGUGAGUGAUGAAGGCUUUGGGAUCGUAAACCUCUGUUUUGAGGGAAAAAAAAAUGUGAAAGUAACUAUGCACGUCUUGACGGUACCAAACCAAAAAGCCCCGGCUAACUACGU
rnacentral:rRNA from 1 species